CACACACACACACACACACACACACACACACACACACACACACCCCUUUCUCACUCUGUUUUAGUAGCACCUGAAUAACUACUCAUAUACAACUCCAGCUAUUAUUUCCGAUGGUGACAAAUCAGAUAGCAAUUUUUAAAAUCCUGGUUGCUGUCAGACCUUGCGUUUCAAUUUGCUUUUCUGAAAAGAACUUUGUCAGAAAUACACUGGUGUUAGCUGCCUGGAACGUGAGAUUUUCGGCCUAGGGUGCCAUGAGUGGCAGGUCCAGCUAGGCUCUGCUGCAGGCAGACUCCAGAGGGAGGUCUCUGGUCCUCAUCCACAUAGACCACUGGAGAGACACAGAGCCAGCACCACAGGAGAGGCACGAAGGCAGGCAUCUGCCCACAGGACUGGACAGCUGGCCAGGACUCUAGGGCCUUCUGCCAUCAUGGAGGUUUGACCAGGAUCUAUCAGGUGCUGGCACUGGCUUUGUGGGGGUUACACAGGUGGUGCUACCUAGGAACCAGGAAGCCAGUAUCUUCACUGUAAAUGGGGACAAGCGGAGGUAAGUGAUGUCCCUUCUUAGGAGAGGUUUCUCAUCAGCCGAUGAGACAGCCAGGCUCAGAACAAAAUUCUCCCUCAGCUUCCAGCAACCUGCAUCUCCCUCAGGAACCUGAUCAGUUCACCAAAACACAAAAUACAGGUUUCUCAUUUAGGAGAGUCUAGCAGACUUGUCAUUUCCUUCUUGGCUGAAAAAACUUGAGGCAGAUCCCCUAUCCUCUCUGUUUCAUUUUUGUAAAUUUGAUCGUGAUAGCCUUGUCUUGGUAUAGCUGGCAACCUUGUCUUAGUUGCUUUGCCUGUUGCCGUGAUAAAAUCCCAAGAAAAGCAACUGAGUGUUGAGGCUGGAGAGAUGGCUCAACGGUUAGAGCUCUCCUGCAGGGAGACUUCAUGGCUGCUCACAGCACUUGUAACAGUGAUGCCUUCUUCCAGCCUGCAUGGGCACCAGGCACACAAGAGGCACACAUGUCUACAUUCAGGCAGAACACCCACACAUAUUGAAAUAAAUAAAUAUCAACUUAGGAGAGGAAGGAUGUACUCUAACUCACAGUUUGAUAUUAAAACCCAGCGUGGUAAGAGAGUCCGAGCAGAUUGAGGCAGCUGGUCACAGUGUACCCACAAUCCAGAAGCAGAGCUCACUGGCUCCUUUUUGUGCAGAACCCAGAGGGCUGUGCUGCCCGCCCUUAACAUGUGUCUUCCCACCUCAACCUACUCAGCAUAGUCUUCACAGUGUCUGAGGCUAAGAAACCCUCACAGGUGUGCCUGAGGCUAAGAAACCCCCACAGGUGUGCCUGAGGCUAAGAAACCCCCACAGGUGUGCCUGAGGCUAAGAAACCCCCACAGGUGUGAGAAACCCCCACAGGUGUGCCAGGGGCUAAGAAACCCCCACAGGUGUGAGAAACCCCUCACAGGUGUGCCUGAGGAAAAGAAUCCCCACACACACACAGGUGUGCCUGAGGUCAAGAAAGCCCCACAGGUGUGUCUGAGGCUAAGCACCUCCCUCCCAGGUGUGUCUGGGAGAGUUCUAGGACAGAAAGGUCCUCUGUACACAUGGCCAGCUGCCUCCUCUGCUUUGUUUUUGCGUAACCUCAGAACAUUCACUACAGACCUACAGUGAUGACUGUUCGAGAUUUAUGGGGUUGACCACAUUUUCCAAGAACUCGAAGUCACUCUGUGCAGCCAUGUGCCUGUGAACAAGAGUCACAGGUUCUGAAUUUUCCUCUAAAGCAAAACAAAAACAAAAGUCACCUAAUUACAGUCUCUGCCACACUCUGAGCUGUUUCAGAGUGUUGAACUCAGGAGGCCUGGCAGCUCCCCCAGCCCACCAGUGCAAGAGCUAUGGAAACUUUAGCCCAUUCGCCCGAGCUGACUGACCACACAGGGCAAACAUGGCUGCCUCCCAGCCUGCUACCAUCUUUCAUUCCAUGGUUCCUUGAAUCCCACCAGGAAAUCCCUAGGUCAGUGUAAAAGAGAACCAUCUAGAUAGGAAAGCAGUGACCCAAAGGAUCCUAGCAUUUUAAAGUCCAUUAUGCAGGUGUCCCCUGCUUCCAGGAAACAGCCACUGGGAUGCCCUUUCUAAAACAAAGCUUUCAAUGUGUUCUUCUUGAUGUCUGACUUGCAACAAGUGGGGGAAAAAAACCAACAUCUUGGGUUGACUGAGGAAAGCCUCCCUUUUUGUUCCAUCCGCUUCUGACCAGCUCCAGACGCCGGGCACAUGGGACCAGGUCCCGACCAGUCUAGAUCUGGGAUCAGGUCCUGACCAUGCUAGAGCCUUUGCUGCCUCUGUACCUUCCAAUAGUCCUGUUUCUCUGCUUGCAAUGCCUCCCUCCCUCUCCACUUCACAAACUUCAGUUAGCUUGGCUUCAUGGCCCACCAACUCCAUGGCGACCCUGUCAACACAAAAAACUAGGCCCAUGGUGACGCCAAAGCAGAACUGCCUGAUACUCGUGACAAUGACGUAUCCCUUGCACACUUUGAAGAAUGUCCCCAAGGCUUCUUGCACAUAUGGGCAAGCCCAGAUUUCAGGAACUUUGAUACUUUUUCAAGGACAAAUGGCUGAAGGAGUUCAGAAUGUUUAGCCUUAGGAAAAAAACCUUAAGGCUUGUGAGAGAGCUUUUCAGUGUCCAUUUCUCAGACUUUGUGUUGUUCCCCACAAGUGGGUUUAAUAAACCCAUUUCAAGUCUCCUCCCCAUAUUCAAGCACUUUCCAUCCCCUUCAGGGUCUUGGCCUGCAGUUACCUUAAGGAAGACUGUUCUGUCUUUCACUGUGUAUUUUUCCUUAGGGAUACUUAUUCUCAAGUGAUAAUUAUAUUGUAAAACUAGGAUAUAAUGUCCCUUUAGCUAAGUGUCCCUCUCUCCACCAGAUCAAUUGUAUGAA
rnacentral:sRNA from 1 species